GUAGGGUGCGAGCGUUAAUCGGAAUUACUGGGCGUAAAGCGUGCGCAGGCGGUUUCGUAAGACAGGUGUGAAAUCCCCGGGCUCAACCUGGGAACUGCGCUUGUGACUGCGAGGCUGGAGUGUGGCAGAGGGAGGUGGAAUUCCACGUGUAGCAGUGAAAUGCGUAGAGAUGUGGAGGAACACCGAUGGCGAAGGCAGCCUCCUGGGCCAGCACUGACGCUCAUGCACGAAAGCGUGGGGAGCAAACAGGAUUAGAUACCCUGGUAGUCCACGCCCUAAACGAUGACGACUAGUUGUUGGGGUAGAAGUACCUUAGUAACGCAGCUAACGCGUGAAGUCGUCCGCCUGGGGAGUACGGUCGCAAGAUUA
rnacentral:rRNA from 1 species